rnacentral:lncRNA from 1 species
UGUCGGUGUAUAUGAAGAAGGGAUAGAUUUGAAAGUCGCUCGUCUCCCAUUGUCGAUCUCAGGUAGGAUUUGACGCGUCUCAUCGCGCUGAAGGAUCUUUCACUUGUUGCCGAUGAAUUACAAUUUUAGCCUCUGUCAAAGAUUCAAUCAAAUCAAUAUCGGUUUUCUGUAAGUAAUUUGUCAAGGCGACUGUUGAGCUUAAUAUGUGUUCUGCAACAACAAGACUUGUGAUAAAUUCAAAUCGAAGUAUC